rnacentral:rRNA from 1 species
UACGUAGGGGGCUAGCGUUGUCCGGAAUUAUUGGGCGUAAAGAGCGCGUAGGCGGUCUGAUAAGUCGGUUGUGAAAGUCGGGGGCUCAACCCUCGGAUGCCGAUCGAUACUGUCAGGCUAGAGUCCGGAAGAGGCGAGUGGAAUUCCUGGUGUAGCGGUGAAAUGCGCAGAUAUCAGGAGGAACACCAAUGGCGAAGGCAGCUCGCUGGGACGGUACUGACGCUGAGGCGCGAAAGCGUGGGGAGCGAACAGG